AGUGAUCCUCACUUCUGGGGAUUCACACCCCGUGUAGCCCCUUUCCACACGGAAUCUGGGCUGGCCUGUGUGAUGAAUAGAAUACGAUGGAAGUGAAAGUGGUGACCUCCAAGGCGAAGUCAAAAAGGCAUUGCAGCUUCUGACAUGGCCCUUGGGUCAGCUGCUCUGCAGGAAGCCAGCUGCCAUCCCAUGAGGAUGCUCAAGUAGCCCUGUGGAGGGGCCCCAGGGACACCAGGCACGGAUCAACAGCCAGCACCAAUCUGCCAGCCAUGAGUGAGCCACCUUGGGAGGGGAACCUCCAGUCCCAGUCCAGCCUUCAGAUGACUGCAACCUCAACUGACAUCCAACUACAACUUAAUGAGUGACUUUGAACCAGAACUGCCCAGCCAAGCUGUCCCUGAAUUCCUGACCUACAGAAAUCAUGAGAGAUCAUCAGUGGUUAUUGUAGAUGGGGUCCUGCUGUGUCACCGAGGCUUGAGAGCAGUGGUGUGACUAUAGCUCACUGUAACCUCAAACUUCUGGGUUCAAGCGAUCCUCCUGCCUUAGCCUCCUGAGUAGCUGGGAAUACAGAACACCUAUGAAUCUACCUGUAAAACUAAUGUUGGACAAAUGCUGCCUGAAGCUGAGCACGUCAGUGAGGAACAGCAGGACACACAGAGAGAGGGAAAGAAAGCACAGAAGAAAGAUGCUUCAAGAAAGGAAAACAUGGGUAGAGGUCUCUCCCUGCUUCUGGAAAGGAAAAAUGGAGCGCAGUGUGUUGGUGUGAACCAGACUGUCUAAGGAGAGGGAGGAAGAUGGAAGACUUAAGGGACUUAACACACCUGGACUUAAGGACUAAAACUAUUAAUGGCUUACCUGUAACAGACACACAGCCUAACGGAGCGAUCAGAGUAAUGGGAGCAAAUCCAUAGGCUGCAAAGUUCCCCGUCUCUCCCACGGCCAUCAGCAGGACACCACCCCACCACAGCACACUCUUGAAGUAUGGCCUUGGCUGCUCUUGUUGUGCCAGCUGAAGGACUGUGAUAUGAAAGAAAGAUCAUCGGACUACAAGGUAUGUGGCACGCGCCAUCCUCUAGCCAGAUGUGACACUUUCUCAUGCCACUGCUCUCCUAGGUCAUGCAGGUAUGCCUCUCACUCACUCCAACCAAACCUCGCCCUCCUGGCCUGCAGAGGUACAUCUCCUUGAGACCUCCUCAGACCACCUCGGCCCACCUUGACUUUCUCAGAUUCUAAAUGGCUCAGUGAAAUUAAGGAGAAGAUGGAUUUAUUUAAAAAUAGAGUUAAGAGGAGAUGAUAACAAGAGAAGAAAUGAAAAGGAAGCUGGCAGAACCAAGAAAAGAUGUUAAGGAGAAAAAUAAAACCAUUGCGCAACUGAAGACCGCAUGUAGGCACUGCUUGAGAAAAACACACUAUGUAGAGGGAAAGGACAUGAAAUGAAAGUGAUUAGAGAGAAGAGGAGACAUGUAGGGGACAGACAACUUCAUUCUGGAGGCUAGAAGUCCAAAUUCAACUUCAUUGGGCUGAAAUCAAAGAGUCAGGAGGAUACCUGUGAUGGCAUUUAGGCCCACCUGAGUGAGCCAGGACACUCUCUCCAUCUCAAGAUCCUUACUUGAAUCACAUCUGCAAAGCCCUCUUUCUGCCAGGCAAGAAGCAGGAUUGCAGGCCACCUUUUGCAGGCCCAGCCCAGGUUUGGAACAAGGCUUCCUCUGCAAAAGCUGGAUGCUGUGAGCUCUGUCAGCUGCAAUGCUCUACCCCACACCUGCCUGGGUUUCCGGAGUGCAUACUCUAUUUGGGAGCAAUGCCUGCCUUGAACUCCAACAGUAUUUUGUCAGCAUCUUUCCCCAAAGACUAAACUCUACAGCCUAUAUCAAGUAUCAGCCACUGGAGAAAGCCGAGAAAUGGAGAAAUUGAGAAACUUGGCAACACAUCCAGUAAAGAGCUGAAGCUUUUAUAACAGCACAAUACAGGAACAAAAAGGAUAGCUUUGGGGAAUGCCAGCCUUUCCAAGGUCUUCAGUCAACUGAUGAGACCCACCCACAUUAGGGAGCAUAGUCUGCUGUACUCAGUCUACCAAUUCAGCUGUGAAGCUCCUCCAGAAACUCCCGCACAGCCACAUCCCAAAUAAUGUUUGGCCAAAUGUCUGGGUACCCUGUGGCCCGGUCAAGUGGACACAUGAAAGUCACCAUCACAGUGCGGUCCUCAAGGAAAGGAAUGAAAGAGACAAUCCAGCUUUGCAUUUAGCACUGAUGCAAUGGCCUGUGAAACCAGACGUGACAAACAUGGCAAGUAGAAGUGUCACAGACAUAAAUUUGAGCAUUUCUCAGAUUUUUCUUUGCCUGG